AUUGAACGCUGGCGGCAGGCCUAACACAUGCAAGUCGAGCGAGCGGCGGACGGGUGAGUAAUGUCUGGGAAACUGCCUGAUGGAGGGGGAUAACUACUGGAAACGGUAGCUAAUAACGCAUACCAUCAGAUGUGCCCAGAUGGGAUUAGCUGGUAGGUGGGGUAACGGCUCACCUAGGCGACGAUCCCUAGCCGGUCUGAGCGGAUGACCAGCCCCACGGGAACUGAGCAUAGGGCCAGCCUCCUGCGGGAGGCAGCGGUGGGGAAUAUUGCACAAUGGGCGCAAGCCUGAUGCAGCCAUGCCGCGUGUGUGAAGAAGGCCUUCGGGUUGUAAAGCACUUUCAGCGGGGAGGCGUUACCCGCAGAAGAAGCACCGGCUAACUCCGUGCCAGCAGCCGCGGUAAUAC
rnacentral:rRNA from 1 species